rnacentral:rRNA from 1 species
ACGCUCGACACCUACGGGAGGCAGCAGUGAGGAAUAUUGGUCAAUGGGCGCAGGCCUGAACCAGCCAAGUAGCGUGAAGGAUGACUGCCCUAUGGGGUUGUAAACUUCUUUUAUAUGGGAAUAAAGUUUUCCACGUGUGGAAUUUUGUAUGUACCAUAUGAAUAAGGAUCGGCUAACUCCGUGCCAGUAGCCGCGGUAAUCUGAGGCGGGCUGGCAAGGC